rnacentral:rRNA from 1 species
AGAUACCCUGUACUUAUAAUAAAAAAUUUGGAAUAGUAUAAUAAUGAAUUUAACGGAUUUGGCGGAAGAUAGCCUUUAGAGGACCUGCCCUAAAACGAUGACCACGAAACCUUUACUUUACUUGUUAUAGUUUGUAUCCGCUGUUGCAGUCAGUUUUUUAGAAACUUUCUAUUUGAUAAAAUAAGUACUUCAGUAAAGGUCAGCUUAUGAAAAGAUAGAGGUGGGUUAAUUUAUAAGAUUAAAACGAUAAAGAUUUGAAAAAACUUUGAAGGUGGAUUUAAAUGUAAAGUUUAAAAAACUGAAAACAUUUCUUCCUAGAUUAGGAGG